rnacentral:lncRNA from 1 species
AAAAAGUUGUUUCUCUGAGGAGCCUUAGGACUGAAGCCGAGGUUGGGUGACCCUGGCCCUUUCCUACCCACUCUUCCUUGCCCUCCUUCCCCUCUCGUGGCAGGAUGAGGCGUGCAGGCCUGGGUGAUGGAGCACCUCCUGGCGGCUAUGGGAACUAUGGUUAUGCCAAUAGUGGAUAUAAUGCUUGUGAAGAAGAGAAUGACAGACUCACUGAAAGUCUCAGAAGCAAAGUAACAGCUAUAAAAUCUAGAAUGGCCCGCCCGUCAGAGCUUCUCCCCAGCUUCUCCUGGAUUUACAGCGAGACAAACGAGAAGUGUCCUUUCUUUCCAUUGAGAUAGGCCAUGAAGUCAAAAAUCAAAAUAAACUGUUAGCUGAAAUGGAUUCACAAUUUGAUUCUACAACUGGAUUUCUAGGUAAAACCAUGGGAAGACUGAAGAUUUUGUCCAGAGGGAGCCAAACGAAAUUGCUAUGCUAUAUGAUGCUGUUUUCAUUGUUUGUCUUUUUUGUCAUUUAUUGGAUUAUUAAACUGAGGUGAUGCAAGUUAGUGUGGGCUUUGAAUUUAUUGCAGUUAAUGUCUUGGGGAACCACUUUGAUAACCAGCAUCUCAACAUUCCUAAUGGUCUUCUCCAUUGAAGAUUAGUAGAAUUUUCCUCUUUCAGAAAUCAUACUAUACCAUGUAAUGUUUUGAAUACUGCUCCUUACUGACUGACUCAUUAUGACUCCUAUUUUAAGGGGUAUUUAAUUUUCUUGAAGUCAGUGUGGCUAUACCUAUGUUGUUCCAGUGUUU